GUAGCAUUUAUUUAUCUUUAUUUGUUGCUAUUUGAGUUAGUUUGCUGCUUGGAUAUCAUGCCAUACCAGCUCUAACAUCCAUGCAUAUGAUUUCUCCAGGGUCAUAUUCUGAAUAAUAGUGCAAGGUACUUUGAGUUAAUGUUCUGCAAAUUAGUGCAUCUGGAACGCUAGGAUGUGUGGGAACACAAAGGUAUGGCAACAAACUCAGAAUUUGAUUAUUAGCCUAUUGUCAUCCUCAAAACCUGAUAUUAAAAAUAUUUAUGACUGAAGUGUUUGACUUGAUCUCAAGUCUGAUUUGCUAAUGGUGGUUAUAUGAUCUCAAUUUGUGAUAUAGUGUGUGAUGGAUAUCAGUUUUCCUGGCUUUCAUCGCAUUUAUUGUAUAGUUUUCCUCUUUUAUAUUCUUAGAUUAGAGGCCUCUUGAUCCAUGGCACUGUCAUGUGAAUUCUCUGUCUUUUUAGUUACAUAGAUUCAUUAUUCAGGCCUCAGGCCAUCUACUUGCUGGAAUAGGCAACAAGUGGAGGAGUGUAGACUAUAGAAAAUGGUCUUAGGCUGCAAAAGUAGUGGGAUGAACAUCCCUUGAGCACUAUGUAACUCUGUGACCUAUUCUUAGGUUUAUGCUUGAUUAUUUGUGUAAUUUUGG
rnacentral:lncRNA from 1 species